UACGAAGGGGGGCUAGCGUUGCUCGGAAUUACUGGGCGUAAAGGGCGCGUAGGCGGACAGUUAAGUCAGAGGUGAAAGCCCAGGGCUCAACCCUGGAAUUGCCUUUGAUACUGGCUGUCUUGAGUGCGGGAGAGGUGUGUGGAACUCCGAGUGUAGAGGUGAAAUUCGUAGAUAUUCGGAAGAACACCAGUGGCGAAGGCGACACACUGGCCCGUAACUGACGCUGAGGCGCGA
rnacentral:rRNA from 1 species